UGCCCCAUGGCUGAGUUGGUUACAGCGUCCGACUGUUAACUUGCAAUCGGAAGGUCGUGAGUUCGAGCCUCACUGGGGCAG